UACGAGAGGUGCAAGCGUUAUUCGGAAUUAUUGGGCGUAAAGGGUGCGUAGGCGGCCAUGUAAGUGAGAUGUGAAAUCCCUCGGCUCAACCGAGGAAGUGCAUUUCAUACUGCAUGGCUUGAGGGAGACAGGGGUAAGCGGAACUGAUGGUGGAGCGGUGAAAUGCGUUGAUAUCAUCAGGAACACCGGUGGCGAAAGCGGCUUACUGGGUCUCUUCUGACGCUGAGGUACGAAAGCUAGGGGAGCGAACGGG
rnacentral:rRNA from 1 species